GACCAAGGGAUAGCUCAGUUAGUAGAGCAUGAGACUCUGAAUCUCAGGGUUGUGGGUUGGAGCCCCAUGUUGGGCA